GCUAGAAACUAGUAGGAUAGAGUGUAGGCAAAGGGCUGAUGGGAAAAUAGCAGAGUUAACUUUUGGGUUAGCAGUCUCACCCACAACUCCAGAGGCGAAUCUUCAAUGAGCUCCAACUGCUUUGCAAAAAAUGUCACAAAAACAGCACUGCUUUUUUUAAAUACCCGAUAAUCAUGGUUAAAAGACCACUAAGAGUGAUUUUACAAUAGAUUAUCCAUUGUAACUAUAGUUACAAAACUUUAACACAUUAAUUUGCUUUGAAAAUGGUUGCAGUUCCACCAGUUGCCCAUGCAGGGGCAGUACUAAUGCGAUCUGACCAGAAAAACAAAUGGAUGAAGAAGAAAAGCAGCAAGUCCCACUUGUCCUCUGAUUAGCAUCCAUGUUGAUCUUCAUCCUGUCGUCUCAGAACCACUUGGAGACUCCAAGAUGUUGUGCAGCCUUAAAGACCCACUCCAAUUCCAAUGAAAAUUGGGCUUUUAACAUGUUCUUGUGGCAUUUUUCGAUGAUAAAGGACAAAAAUUAAGAACUCCAACAUGUUUUCUGGGGGAUUUCCAGGCUUUAUCCCCUCCUCUGCCCGUGGGUUGUGGAAUCUGCCCUAAAUGAAGGCACAUAUUUCUUCUGAGGCCUGGACGGGCCCGGUGUCGGGGUGUUUUGUGCCGCCCUGUCAGUUGUUGUUCAUGAACCAGCUUGAAGACAGAUCAAAGCGUUUUCUCUCCCGGAGCUGGAAUCUGGUCCGUGAGACUCAUGGACUCCUUCACAUCAGCUGAGGAUCUGACCAUGUCCUCUGCUCUCACCAGGCAUCACUGUGCCGGACCACCACUGUUCAGCUUCUCAUUCAAUGAAGGCUUCAUGCAGUAUUUUACACUCUGGUUGGUCUUGUAGAUCAAGAGUCCCCUGGAAUUUGGAUCACUUGGUACUAGGCUGCAAAAACAAAAAGCACAACUUAAGAUCUGAUUCCUAUGGACAUUUUAUUUUGGAAAACUGCUGGCUUCUCUCCACCACAUCUGCCUGUGACUUGGACACAUGUCAGGUCGUUCACCUCUGUCAAUUCUUAGACAAUCUUCCAACUGCCAUGACUCUUCAUCUGUUUAUACAAUCAAAAAUCCACUCAAAUAAAACUAUAUAAAAAUCUAAAAAUCUAAUUUUUAACAUUUACUUUGUCAUGAUGAAAGAUAUAAAGAAGAUUUAGAUUGAAACCUGCUUCUCUGAGAACUUCUUUUUUCAAGUCGUGGUGAAUCAGGAGUAGAUAAAUUUAUAAGAUUUAAAGUCGUAAUUUAAAAAAAAUGUGUUUGUAAACUGUUGUAAUAUUUUGAGUAGAACACCAGAUUUUUUUUUCUUUUAAAUGAAAAUGUGUUUUUUCUUUGAGAUCGAUUUAUUGCGACAGUUAUUGCCGCUCACCAAAACCACUCUGCAUAAUGUGCAGCGACCAACUCUCUAACAUUACAAAAAAAGUGUAAUAUGAAUAAAACAAAAAUAAAACUUAAUAGAAAAAAAAUCAGUAAAAUAAGAUUAAAAUAAAAUAAAAUAUGUGCUUAGUGUUUGCGGUACACAAUAUUCACAUGUGCAAAGUAGGGAUAUAGUCCAUAAUAUUUCACCUAUAAAGAAUACCACUGAGCUGAUGAAAUAAUAAAUGGUCAUUUUGCUAUCAAGAUCUUUAGACCCCAUGGGGUCAAUUGAGAACAAUAGAUGAUUUUGGAGAUGUAAGCAAUUCUCUAAUCAUGAAAACCUUAAGUUUAGCUCAAGUGAUCAAAAUGC